GGGUUGUGAGGUUAAGCGACUAAGCGUACACGGUGGAUGCCCUGGCAGUCAGAGGCGAUGAAGGACGUGCUAAUCUGCGAUAAGCGUCGGUAAGGUGAUAUGAACCGUUAUAACCGGCGAUUUCCGAAUGGGGAAACCCAGUGUGAUUCGUCACACUAUCAUUAACUGAAUCCAUAGGUUAAUGAGGCGAACCGGGGGAACUGAAACAUCUAAGUACCCCGAGGAAAAGAAAUCAACCGAGAUUCCCCCAGUAGCGGCGAGCGAACGGGGAGGAGCCCAGAGCCUGAAUCAGUGUGUGUGUUAGUGGAAGCGUCUGGAAAGGCGCGCGAUACAGGGUGACAGCCCCGUACACAAAAAUGCACAUGCUGUGAGCUCGAUGAGUAGGGCGGGACACGUGGUAUCCUGUCUGAAUAUGGGGGAACCAUCCUCCAAGGCUAAAUACUCCUGACUGACCGAUAGUGAACCAGUACCGUGAGGGAAAGGCGAAAAGAACCCCGGCGAGGGGAGUGAAAA
rnacentral:rRNA from 1 species